AAGUUCCGCUCAAACAUCAUUUCACUUUCGGACAGUUAAUUUAAAUAUUUUUAUAGAUAGAAACCAAAUCUGACUUACGUCGAUUUGAACUCAAAUCAUGUAAGAUUUUAAAAGUCGAACAGACUUAAAAUUAUUAAACUUCUACAUUUAAAAUUUAUCUUAAUUCAACAUCGAGGUCGCAAUCAUUUUUUUCUAUAAGAUCUAUGAAAAAAAUAUAACGCUGUUAUCCCUAAGGUAAUUUAAUCGAGUAAUAAUAAAUUAAAAAUCAAAAUAUUUUCUUAAAUUAAAGUUUUUAUUAAUUAAAAUUUAUUAAAUUUAAUAAUUCUCUCAAUUAAAUAUUAA